CUUAGUGGCGGACGGGUGAGUAACGCGUGGGGAACCUGCCCUGUACAGGGGGAUAACACUUAGAAAUAGGUGCUAAUACCGCAUAAGCGCACAGUAUCGCAUGAUACAGUGUGAAAAACUCCGGUGGUACAGGAUGGACCCGCGUCUGAUUAGCUGGUUGGCGGGGUAACGGCCCACCAAGGCGACGAUCAGUAGCCGGCCUGAGAGGGUGAUCGGCCACAUUGGAACUGAGAAACGGUCCAAACUCCUACGGGAGGCAGCAG
rnacentral:rRNA from 1 species